rnacentral:lncRNA from 1 species
AUAAGCAAUAAUCGUUUCCAAAAUGGAUUGAGAUUUAACACACAGCUGAAAGGAACUCCAAAACUCUGUUAUGAACUGCAAAAACUUAUUGUAACAUGAUUAUUCACUAAUAAAACCGAAUUGAAAUAAUUUGAAGCACUAAAAUUUUAAAAACAAGAGUCACUUUUAAUAAAUUUUCGCAGGUUUAAAUCGUCCUUCCCGUAGUCGUCGUUUGUUGGUCGUUUGUAGCUGGUGGUGUAGCGUUGUCGUGCGGUGAAGUUCAGGGUUUAUCCGAGGGGAUGGGGGUUUGUCCCUUGUGCGACCUCUUCCAGGGGGCAUCAGGAGCCCGGGAGGUUGUCCCUAUUCCACUCUUCCUUUGACUUGUGGUUAGGGGGGCCCCGGGUCUCCUGAACCUCAGUGGAUUCUCCUGUCGGUGUUUCGUCGGUUGGCAUAUCGUCGAUAAGCGUGUCGUGUUUACCAGGCACCCCGGAGGAGCCGGAGGGUUGUCCCUAUUCCACUCUUCCUUUGACUUGUGGUUAGGGGCCCCGGGACCUCCGGGCGCGACAAUGGUUACACUUCGUUCCAAUGCUCUUUGCAGCCUCUCUUGAAAGUUGUAACCGAUGGCAGUUCCUGACCCAAUCGUUACUGUGACUCUGUUUGUAUCGCGUUAAAUAGCAUGCAGGAAUAUACUUGAGUUAUUGGGCGGAGCUUCACUACUCCCACUGGCUAGGGCAAACAAAAGCCAAGACAUCCUAGCAGUACGCAGCCAGUUCCAUACCCCCACGAUUGCUACCCCACAAGAAGGAGGCUACAAAGGAAACCGACGUUGGUAACUGUUUGGUAGCCGAUUGGUAGCAACCCAAUCAAAGCGUUUUCGGCUAGACGGGUUCAUUCCGCUUCGAAUUCCGCUUCGAAAAUUGCUUCGAAAUUUUCUAAACAGAUUGUCUGAUUGAGUUCCGCUUCGGUUCCGUUUGAGCAAUUUUUGCACAAGGGCGACACCUGCUGGUGUAUGGUGGAACCUCGAUGACAUUUCGCCGAGUUUCGCCGAAGCGGUUUUCUUGUUGAUUUUUGGCAAUCAAACGUCAAAGUGUUAGGAAAAAGUAGGAAGUAGGAAAACUUGUUCGAACCUGUUUUCUUUCGCGCCACGUUUUUUUACGGAAAAACUCGGGAAAAACAGAUUUGCCGUGGAAUUAAUCGGACUGACACGUUUGGCCACUAAGCAAACCUGGCGGAAGCUUCCCUUUUCGACACGUCCCAGAAGUCCUCGCUGUGGAUCGAGGUGAUGAUCAAGUUUUUGCGGCAGGUGGUGCUGGGGGACGGGCGGAAGGCGGCUUCCAAACCGCACUCAACCAGGCAAUCAACGCUCGCAACCGAAGUGGCCGCCCUUCCUCACGCUCACGACAAGAACACGCAAACCUGCGUUGUGGGAGGUACCAGACGUACAACUGGGUGGUGCAACCACCGGUCCACAAUGCUUCUUGUAGGCAGGUUCUUUCAUCAAGUUCCCGACGCAGAACAGCUAGUUUGGUCCGCCGAGCCCUGCCCAGAUCGUCAAGCUAAUGGAGCAGCACAACGUCAGUGGCAAGGGAUCCGAAAUGUUGACCGAAGCCACCAACAAUGACGUCGUUACGGAUUGCACCGAGGAAUACAAUCUGUCAGUGGUUUAUGUUUAUUUUACAGAUUAAAAAAAAAUAUGAGGACUGGGGGAUUGGGUUCGUGUUAGGCGUUUCAUUUGACGAGAAAUUUAAAUAAUAAAUAAAAUUCUUUCAAAAUAAGAAAAAA